GUUUGGAUUGUCAGUACAUAUUGCAGUGUUUUAUUUGCGCAACUACAGUAGUUCAGUUGUGUCAUAAGUGUGGCUUUUGGGCCAAAGAGGACCCACAUAAUUCAACAAGUGAUCAAAGCCAAAUGAAAAACCAGUGCAAUAUGAGGAAGAGGAGUUUCAUAUUCUGCAACAGUUUCAUUAGAGUUUGAGAGACUUUCAGAAAAGUGCAAGUAGCAUUCUGCUGAUGGUCAUUUCGAGAAUUCUCCAAAAGACAGUUGCAAAUCAUUUGAAAAAAGCGACUCACAAUGUUUGAGAGCUCAGCAAGCAAACAAGAGCAGCCAGUUUGAAGAAUGACUAAUGAGUUUCCUGUUCUUAACAUGGCAAACAAUGAGGAGUGGCUCCAACAGUUGAAGAGACCUGAAAGACACCAAAAUUGCUGUGAAGUAACUCUAAGCUGCAGGAGCAUUCUGGCUAUUGAUAUGUAAAGAGGCACACAGAAGGAUCCUCCCUCUUCUGGCAGGACCAUACCAUCACUUCUGCUGCUGCUACUUGUGAAAGCUGUUCUUUUCAUCAAGAGAAACAGCCAUUAUCCCUUCCAGUCCUACAGUCCUGUGCAGCAAAAAUCUUCAUUAACUACAAUUGGAAUUGGAGUCAAGGAGAGCUGCUUAGCACCACUCAGGACUAGGCCCUAUUGGUAAUGAAUGUGCCAAGAAUAUGCAGGGCUACCAAGCAGAGCUCUUUGGACAUCCAGUGUGAACAAUAUCAGGACCACUAACGAGAUCUGACAAAGUGGAGGUAGUUCUUUGACAUGAUAAAAUCAAGUCAAGCUUUCUGCUGACUCUUGAUGUGCCAGUGAAACUUCUUCCCAUGUUGCUGCUGAAGAUCAGACACAAAUGGAUUAUCCAACCUCAGAUCCAACUAUUCAGCCUUUAGCCCACCAGCUGGUCAUUCCAUCUGACACUCUGAGAAACCCACCACACCCUAGUGGGUUCCAGCCCCAGAUGGGCUUUACAAAUCCAAGCUAUUAAAUGCUUUCUACAGCUGUAUCCUCAGCCAUGAAUAGAG